GGCGAGCUGCAAAUGGCGACCGCAAAAGGCAGGUGCCCAGCCACUAACUUCGGGCUCUGGGCCGAGGGCCGCUCCCCUGAGAAGAGGCCAGUUUGGAGGCCGCGGCAGGCAGCGUUUCCCGCCCUGCUGGUCUCCGGGGUGGCGCUCACUGCGAUCCCAGGAGGGUCGGCUAACAUCUUCCUUUUACAGACCAGGGAUUGAAGCAGGACAGACUGGGAGUUGCCGUUCCUCUCAUUCCUUCCCCAUCAGUCAGGGGUGCCUGAGAGAUGACGUCCACCCAGACGUAAAGCAGAUGGUUUUUCUAUGGGAAGCAAGGCCCGUGAGAACGUUCUUUCCUGGAACUCCCAAAUCAUGGACAUUAGUCAACAGCCAUGCCACAGCCUACCCGGACAUACUAUGUUCAUGUAGAGUCAUGUAUUCAUCUCCAGCUGUAGAAAAGAAUAUAUCAAAGCCCAUGUUUCUACACUGACUACCAGAGUUAUUGUUCUGCCUCAGUGUAGACCAACAGCUUAACUCCACUUCAACCCCUAGCCUGGGGGACGUCCAUAGGCUGCGGGUGCAGCAAGGAAAAAAGGACAAAGAAAUAGCGUCUUGAGAACACUGGCUUGAGAUGGGAAGAAAUCAGGGCUGCAGGGCCGUAGGGGGAGGUGUGUGUCUGCUCCACUACACAGCAGCAGCGACGUAAGCAUCAGAAAUUAGGCAGGAAGGUUACAGAGACACCCUCCCAUCCCCAUUUAAGACUGGAAAUAGGAUGAAGUUGAAGGGAAGGGGUGAGAGCAGAGCUGGGCCCCUUCCAGCCGUCACCACAGGCCUGGGGCUGCACCCCGGCGGGAGGCUGCUCACUGGGACCCCUGGGUUCUGACCAACAGGAGGGCAGCCCAGCCUGCCCCUAACUCCACAGGGCCAGUGGGCGCUGUCCAGCGGGGCCUCCACUGGGGGCUGCCACCUGGCUGGAGGAAACAGGGCGAGCUCUCAAAACUGUAAGUGCUCCCUCUCGAGCCCACCAGAGGCUUCCUAGGGUUUCAUGGUCUCCCUCGCAGGCCUCUCUGCUGUGUUUGCUAUCAUGACAGGGCCACUUACCGUUGCCCGCCAUGGUCCUUCGGGAGUUAAUGCCAGACAGCUGCCUCGGAGACACUGGCUCUCUGCUGAUGGAGCCGGGCUGGGGGGAGCCUGUCCCUGUGGGGAUGUAUAAAGGCCACCCAGGGGGACCAGCCAUCCUGCCUCAGAGUCCCCCUGAGGAGGAGCCAGCUGUCUGCUCCCUCCCUGAGUUGCGCAGUGGACCCAAGUCCACGUCCGGGUUGUGAUAACUAUUCAGCCGGCCAGCAAGGCUUUUGAAGCAAAACGGUCUAACUGGAGUUGGAGAAGGACAGCAUCCAGAAACACCAGUUCCGUAGGGGGUGAGCUGCAAGGAACAAGCAAGAAGCUCAUACACUAUGCAUCGCCAGGAGUUCCCAUCGUGGCACAGCGGAAAUGAAUCUGACUAGGAACCAUGAGGUUUCAGGUUCGAUCCCUGGCCUCAAUCAGCAGGUUAAGGAUCUGGCGUUGCCAUGAGUUGUGGUGAAGGUUGCAGACGCGGCUCGGAUCUGGUGGUGGUGUAGGCCAGCAGCUGUAGCUCCGAUUAGACCCCUAGCCUGGGAACCUCCAUAUGCCAUGGGUGUGGCCCUAAAGAGACCAAAAAAAAA
rnacentral:lncRNA from 1 species